AACUCCUGACCUCAUGUGAUCCACCCGCCUCGGCCUCCCAAAGUGCUGGGAUGACAGGCGUGAACCACCACACGCAGCCUAUCUGCUGCUGCUUAAUGAGGCCUGGGGAGAGAAUAGGGGAAGGAAGGGACUUAUGCAAAAGUAUCUUUCUAUACUUCACUUUCCCUAUGUCUCUUGGAAGAGGUAGGGACAUUUCUUCUCCUCACUUUCCCUUUCUCUUCCAAGUUUUCCCCAAGGUGUAAUAUAGUGUGGGUGACGCUGCAGUCGGAUAGGCUUGGGCUCAAAUCCCAGCUUCCCAUGGGGCAGGUUCUUUAACUCUCUAUACCCCAGUUUUCCCAUCUGUAAAGAAGCAAUGGAGAAAGCACCUACCUCAUAGAGCUAUUGUGUCUAUCAAGUGAGAAUAUUCAUGUAAGCACUUAGCCUAUUGCCUAUAUAUUGUUACAUGCUUAUUAAAUGUUAGCUAUCAUUAUUGUUAAUAUUCAUUCACCUUUAAAAUCUCCUGGUGGUUUUCAGAGGCAUAGAGCCGGCCAUCUCGCACAAUGUCUUCUACCAGCUGCUCAUAGUCCUCUGCAAAGUCAACCAAGACGCUGAGCACAGUGCCAAACCUAUAUAGAAACUCAUUUGGGAUAUGGAGGAGAAUAUGCCACCAGUUCUCCAAAGUGGAGGGGUGAAGCCAUGCCUCCCUUUCCCUCACCUGUGUAAACUGGGUAUGAAGACAGAGGACACCAGGAAAGAAGCCAGAGAAAGAGGAACAGUGAUGAAGGUAAGGAUGGAGAUUGGUCACAUUGGUCGGAUAGGUAACUGGGGGUUGCAGCUGGUUGCAAUGAGCAGCCAGGGAAUGUAGGAACCUGGGAAGUGGCUCUGGGUGCAGGCAGAGCUAUGGCCAUGGUGCUGAGGUUGGAGGGGCAGGGUGGGGAAAGGCAGCUGAGCCUCACCUCCUUGUGGAGCAGGGACCAUUUCUGUGGACAGGCCACAGCCCUGUCCUUCCUCCCCUCCCCCCUGUGCCUGGGCUUGCUGCCAUAUUCCCUAGCCUUUCUCCUAUUUUGGCUUAACAAAACAAAGUCUGACAACUUGGCGGGGAGGGAUCUGGGGAGAGCUGCCAGGCCACACCCUAGAUGGUGGGGGUGGGGGGCAGGGAGAACAGUAGGCUCUCACCCCCAAAUCACCACCCCUAGGUUCUAGAGCCAAGCUCACCCUGGAGCCCCCAAUUCAACACCUUGAUUCCAUCUCUAUGCUAGCUACUGCCCUCCCAAGUCCAUGGCCCUUCUCAGUUUGCCUUGGCCCAGGAGGCAUCACGUAGAUUGGUUGUCAAAUGGAGCAGCUAGAAUCUGGGCUCCUGAGGGCUUCAUCUGCCCCUCUCUUCCCAUCCUCUCUGCUGAGAUCCUGCAACCUUCUCUUCCCCUUCUGGCCAGGGCAGAGAGGCCCAGAUCCAGCUGGCUCUUGCCCAAGAGAUGCACCUGUUGGAAGAGCUAAGGUGUACUUUCCUGUGCUUUGCUCCUGUCUCUACCCUGUCUUUUGCUGUUCUCUUGACUUCUCCCCAUCCCUGUCUUCCUGCUCUUGCCACAUUCUACAUGCCAUCCUUCUGUCUGCUCCCUUACUAUCUAACCUUGUGGCUUUGCUACUCUAGCCAAGCUCUUUCCUCCAAUUCUCAGUGGGGAAGCUAAGGCCCAGAGCAUGGACAACUUUCUCAAAAUUCCCCUAAGAGCCAAAGGUAGUAUUGAGACUUUGAACCCUAACCCUAGGUAAUCUUUGUCCCUUGACCCUCUCUAUACCUAAUCAUUCUCUUGUCCCUCUGGUUGGUUCUCCCCAAAACACUUAUAGGGAAAUGAGAUGUGGUGACAAUCAGGGGCCUAGAAAAGUCAAAGGCAGCCAAAGAACUCAGAAGCUUAUGUGCAUGUCCUGUAGGCAACUCACUGUCCUGGUCUAAGUGCCACAGCUUCCCUUCCCAAAGGAGUUUCAUAAGAGGCCCUCAAGGGUGACUGGGCAGAUAUGAGGCCCUUCCCUGGAAGCUAAAAUGGUAGGAGAGGUGACCAGGGCUGGGAUUAAGGGCCCAGCAGAUAUCAGGGUUUGGAGGCCAGGGUUGGGUGUAGAAACCUAUAGCCUGGGUCCAAUGAUGGGUUAUGACUAGGUUUGGAGGCAGCUCUGCAGUAAGGAGGCUCUUCUCAGCCAAUAGGACUUAAGAGAAUUCAUCUAUUUGGUCAAUUGGUGGGUGAGGACCAGCCCAGCCUGCUUUUCUGGGCAUCAUUCCUUUUGUUUCUCUUCCUUUCCUGGUCCUUUAUGCUUCUAGUGCCUGUUUUCUGUUGUGGCUACAGGGUGAAGUAAUUUGGGAGAAGGCCCUGGGUUCAAAUUUCAAAUCCUUUUCUGCUAUGAGCUUCAGAUUUUCUGCUUGGGGAAGAGUCUGACUUGGUCCCAGUAAUUUUCCAAAAUGACAGAGACCAAAGUUGAGUUCAGUUCCUUAGAGAUUCUCUUAUCUCUGAUCCAGCUCCUGGGACAAAGGAGAUCAGUGAGGAGAGGGUGAGACUGGAGAUUGCAGGAAGAACUGGGAGAAAACAAGCCUGUAAGGGUCAGAGGCUUCCUGGGGCAUAGGGAUGCACUGUCGUCAUCAUCAAAAACAUUCUUCCCAUUACUGAGCUCCUACCAUGUGCUAAGGAUUGUACAGGGCUCUUUUCAUAUGUUGUCUUGUGGUGAUCCGCACAGCAGCCUUCAAGUGGGUUAUUACCACCCCAUUCUAUUUUAUUGUUAUUUUUUGAGAUAAGAUUGCUCGAUCUGGAGCGCAGUGACACAAUCACAGCUAACUGCAGCCUCGACUUCCUAGGCUCAAGCCAAGGAAGAGCUCCCAAGUAGCUGGGGACUACAGGUAUGCACCAUCAUGACUGACUAAUUUUUAUUAUUAUUAUUUUUUGUAGAAACAGGGUCUCACUAUGUUGCCCAGGCCUGUCUUGAACUCCUGGGCUCUAGCAGUCCCUCUGCCUCGGCCUCCCAAAGUGCUGGGAUUACAGGUGUGAGCUACCACACCUGGUCCCACCCCCAUUUUAGAGAGGAGAAAGAUGAGAUUUCCAGAGAUUGGCUGAUUUGCCCAAGACCCAAGGCUAGUAAGCAGCAGAACCAAGAUAUCUGUGUGGAGCCAAAUCAGCUUCCUACCAUGCCUCACCACUGGCUAAACCCACUAUUCCCAUCUCCUGGCCCUUGCCCUAGGAGCAUUUCGUAGCAGCUUUUCCUCUAAUGUUUUUCAUCCAGCAGGAUUUUUCAUCCUAAGUGGCCAGUCUCAAAGGGGAGGCUGACCUUAUUCUCUUGUGAAUGUAGCUCUUCUUGAUCACUCUCUCCUCCUUCCCUGGGAAAUAGGAAAUGCUGAAAAGAUCUCUUUCUCCACAAGACAUCCCUCCACCAAAUCCCCUCUCCUUUGCUUACCCAGACAGUUGUGUCCGUCAUGUGCCAGGUGGAAUCCAUCAUAGCAGGUACACCGGUAAUUGCCAGGGAUGUUGACACAGUCAUGCACACAACCUGCAUUAUCCUCUCGCUCGCACUCAUCCACGUCUGUGGGCAAAGGGAAGCUGAGACAGCUGAACCCACCUGCGAACCCACUGUCCACCCCCAGACUCAGCCUUAUGGUUGUGUUUACAUAGUUAUGUUCAUGGCCUAUAAGCCAUUUAGCAUUUUUCUGUUUUCAUUUAAACCUAAGUCAUGAACAUUUUCAGGUCUCCAUCCAGUCUUUCUAAUUACCAUUGUACAUGGUUGCAGAAUAUUAUUUUUCUAUUUUUUUCUCUAUUGUUAGAGAUUUAGAUUUCUUUAAUUUAUUUUACCAUCAUAGAUAAUGCAUCAAAGAACAUCUUCUCCCAUGUAUUAUUUUGUUACUUUGAAUAAGUCCCCAAGAGUAAAAUUCCUGGAUCAAAGGAAAUACCUUUUAAGAUUCCUGGUAGGUAUUACAAAAUUACUUUUCAAUUUAUAAUGCAACUAGGAAUUAACAAGUGUACCCUGUCCACUAAAGUCUCACCAACACUGAAGCUCAUAAAUUUAAUAUCUCAAGGCUACUUUAAUUUGCAUUGAUUUAAUUAUGAGGGGAAGAUGUGUUUACAUUAUGAACUUCCUCUGAAGCACACUUUCUGUUCCCAUCCAUUGUGGAUGUGGUGUAAGGGUCUAAAGAUAAAGGUUCCAAUGUCAGGGAACCUCAGGUCUUAGUCUUAUGAUUUUCAUGCUCCCACCCCAGCCAGGUUGUGGGCUGUGAACUGUCCCCACCAGGGCCUCUGCUAGCCUGCAUGGUGCCUUUGUGCAAAUUAGAAAAUGGCACCCUCUCUGGGAAGAUGCAGUUGCCCCCCUCACCACCCCCCCACCACUUGACCAGUGGAAUUUCUAGCCUUGAUGUGAUGGAGAGUGGCCAACUGAGGGCAGUGGCACUGGUUUGCCUUCUUCCACAGGUCCCUCUCCUCCAGGUGCCCUUCCAGCCUCACCUUUGCAGUGUUUGCCGUCCCCUGUGUAGCCAGACUUGCAGAUGCACUUGUAUGACCUCGGGGUGUUCUGGCAGAUAGCAUCGAUGUGGCAGUUGUCAGUCCCCUCCACACACUCAUCCACAUCUGGCAGGGGCAGAGGGGGCACAUGAGAACCUCUGUUGGCACCUCUUAAGGGGUGUCUUGAAGGUGGGCUUCCAAGGGCAGAAUCCCCUCUUCUCUAAAACAGAGGCAGUGACCCCCUCCAGAAACAGGUGCUGUCUCACAUCUCUCUGAUUUCAGAGUAGGCAGACACUGAUUUUGGGAAUUCAGAAGGAACCCCCACUGCCCUCAAAAAUACUAAAUUCACAGUGACAGCUAAAACUCCAUCAUUCGAAACACUCCUUUUUUUAUUUGAAAACAAACAAAAAACCCUUAGAGUGGGUAGUACACUUAACUUGAUUAGGAAUAAUCAACUUAAAGUGAAUGAGUUUACGGAGAAGGCUUAGAGGGAAAGUUAAGGGAAAAGGCAUGGGAACAGUGGUCUCUGGGAAGGUGGCAGGGUCCAGCAAUCACUAGUAAAGGAGGAAGAAAGGGGGAUGGGGCAUCUGAGGGAUCUUCAUCUGUGUCAUGAUUCUGCUUGAGACCAGGCCUGCUUCCACUUGCCCACCAUGGAGCCAAGAAGCUUUAGAGGAAAAAUGUUCCAUCCUGGAUGAUUUUCCUCGGCCCCUGUGCUGCCAACAAUGGAGACAUCCAGAGCUGGCAGAGGUUGGCACCAGCUACCUGAAGCCUAAUAAGUGCAGCCCUUCAGGCCCUAAUCCCCAGUGUUUAGCCCUCUGUCUCCUGGCCCUAGCUCUAACAAUAGGUGCUACACACACAGCUAUACUUGAAGGAAGAGGCCACUCACCAUCUAGCAAAAAAGAGGAUGGUUAGGAAAGGACAUAGAUGAUGCCAGGCGCGGUGGCUCAUGCCUGUAAUCCCAGCACUUUGGGAGGCCAAGGCAGGUGGAUCAUGAGGUCAGGAGUUCGAGACCAGCCUGACCUUGAUGAAACCCCAUCUCUACUAAAAAUACAAAAAUUAGCCAGGUGUGGUGAUGUGUGCCUGUAAUCCCAGCUACUCAGGAGGCUGUGGCAGGAGAAUCGCUUGAACCAGGGAGGCGGAGGUUGCAGUGAGCUGAGAUCGCGCUAAUGCACUCCAGCCUGGGCGACAGUGAGACUCUAUCUCAAAAAAAAAAAAAAAAAAAAAAGGACAUAGAAAAGAGUCCAACUUCUGAGGCAAUAUUAUGGUGCCCUUAAAUCUGAACUGAAAUAGAGAAACAUGUUAUUCAGUUGAAAACGCCUUAUUGAGUGUGUUUGUGAAAGACACUAUAAUGAUAGCUGUGGAGGCUCAAAGGUGACUCAGCCCAGCCAAAAGGAGAAACAAAAAACAUGGAGCAGAAUGUGGUACAUGCCCUGAAGACAUGAGAGAUAAGGUGAGGGGGUCCUCCACCCUGCACAUCAGAGUCAACUCUCCUAGGAGAUGUCCAAGCCACAACCCCAGAGAUUCUGGUCAGAUAGCCUGGACUGGUGCCGGGCCAUCAGUAUUUUUCUAAAGCUCUUCCAGUUAUUCUAAUGUGUAGUCAAGGUUGAGAACCUGUGUUACGGGGCAGAUCAGAGGAGAAAGAGAUUACUUCCAGCUGGAAACUGGGAAACCCAAAAUAGUGUCUUAAGUAGCAGCCUGCAAGUGAGUGAUCACUGAAUGGGAGGCAUUACUCUCCUGUGAUCCCACAACUGAGCACAGAAAGGAGAUGAGAUUUGACACCAAGACAAUUUGAUAUCCAAGUGUGAUCUAUGGGCCAUAGAAUUGCCUAGGUUUUAUUAAAAUGCAGAUUCUCAGGACUCAUUAUAGCCUUUUUGAAUCCAAAUCCUUAAGUGAUUAUUUUUACUGAGUGAAUGGAUGCAUGGACCAGUAUUCUCUCCAAUUUAUAGAUACCCAGAGUCCUAGCUUGAGACAGUUAUCUGUCCUCCGCUUUUAUACUCUGAAACUUCCUGGGGCUAAGAAGAGAACUGAAAUCCCCAAACACCCUGCCUCAAAUCUCACAGGUUUCCGUUCAGCUCUUCAUUCUACCCUUCAACUCCUAUGCAGCCAACCAUCAUACCAGUUGAUUCUAAGUGCUGGGAGCCUCUGUCUACACUUACUCUCCACCUCGCUCAGGCUCCAUAGGCAUGGUGUCUACCUGCUGGCCCAUCCUGGGAAGUCAUCCCAACGUGACAGAAUGGAAAAGAGAGGGCAUGGAAGACUAGUUCAUAGGUAAGGGCAAGAGGGACCUCGCAGAUGGUAAGGUGCUCUGUGGAGAAUCAGUUUGUCCAACUGAUAAACAGAAAACAGUACAAAGAAAUGUGCUAUCACAGAACGAUCUUAAGCACUGGAACCAGUCAGUCCCAGAUUCAAAUCCAGCUCUACCCUUCUCUAGGGAUGGUUUUCUUAUUCUCCAUCUCCUCCCCCUUAAAAUGGGGAUGAUAAUACCUCCUCAUGAGAGGCUGUGAGUAGCUGAUGGGAUAAUUUGUGUAAAUUGGCUAAUAAAGUAUCUGGUAAACAGUAGGGUCCCAAUACAGGAAGCUUGAGAUGGUAUUAAAUCACUGGUCAGGCAAUAGAUGCUCGAGACAGUAUGACAGCCACUAGCCACAUGUGGUUAUUUAAUUUAAAAUUCACUUCCUCAGUUGCACUAGCCACAGGCCAAAUGCGCAAUAGCCACAUGUGGCUAGUGGCUACCAUGGCGGAAAGCAUAGAUAUGGAACAUUUCCAACACCACAGAAAUAGCACUGCUAUUAGCACACCACAGGAUAGCACUGCUCUGGGGUUCUGAAUAAGAGAUACUCCCUGGGUCCAGCAGCACGGAUACUGGUCUGGAACUGCUCCCCUGACCAUAUCAGAGGUAUGUGCCUGUGACUGAAUCAGCUGGUGCUUCACUAGAGACUGUGUCAGACUAUAUGGGCUCCCAAUUCUUUCCUUUGCCUCCCAUUCAGUGCUCACCAGUACUAGAGUGGAUCUUGAUGCUGAUCACCACAAACCCAGGCCUCCCAGCAGAUUCUUUUUUUUUUUUUUUUUUUUUUUUUUGAGAUGAAGUCUCGGUCUGUCACCCAGGCUGGAGUACAGUAGUGGUGUGAUCUCGGCUCACUGCAACCUCUGCCUCCCAGGUUCAAGCUAUUCUUCUGCCUCAGCCUCCUGAGUAUCUGGGAUUACAGGCAUGUGCCACCACACUUGGCUAAUUUUUGUAUUAUUAAUAGAGACAUGGUUUUGCCACAUUGGCCAGGCUGGUCUCGAACUCCUGACCUCAAGUGAUCUGCCCGCCUUAGCCUCCCAAAGUGCUGGGAUUACAGGCGCGAGCCACUACACCUGGCCACAGAUUUUUUAGACCCCUCCUACAGCCAGACUUCUCCCACCAUCUAACUAACCCCUCUCCCUUACCUCCCUGCUCACAAUGCUUAUCCCUCUCCAGCAAAGAGUCUCUGCUCUGGAAGACAUUAUCUCUUCCUGUUCCCUCUACAAUACCUAACCAUCCUAUUCCUUUCUAUGCAUUUGCGUAUUUUCGUUAUUCACAUUGCAGAUGCAUUCCUCAUUUUUCUCUUCCAGCCACACUAUGCUCAGCUUUCCAUUCCAGCUCAAAUUUUUCUUCCCAAAAGCUCUUCCUUGUAAGCCCCGUUCCUGGUGAGUUCCUGGUCCAAGGGGACUGUUCUCCUCAGUUCAUUUACAGCCGUCACUGAAUUGCUCUGCUAAUACUUUAAAGCGUGUUCAGCUUUCCUCACCUGGCUGGGUACCUGCUGAGGAAGAUGUCCCUUCAAUGUUUGGUUGGAGUCUUUUGAAGCAGAACAGACCUAAGACAAAGCUGUGAAAGAGGGCCCCAAAUUAUACCCAGUAUCUCCUCCUUUUACCACUCAUUCUUCCAGAGUUCUCUCCUACCAUAUGUGCCCACCCAGAAUUUGUCCUUGCAAGGACCCUUCAACGCUCACAGCACAGUCUCAUCUUAGCCUGUUCUCUCAGGAUGCAGGUGCUUACUAGCUGGAAAACCAGUUGAUGCUACUGGGUGUGGACUGGUUUAAACCAGCGGUUCUCAACCCUGGGGCUACACACUGGAAUUCCCUGGGGGUUUUGAAAAAAAUGUGAAUGUACAGAUGUCCCCUAGACCAGCUGAAUCAGGAUCUCCAGGGUGAGGCUGUGGCUACUAUCUGUCUUCCUUUCCCAAGGUAAUGCCAAUAAACUAUUUGCCCAAGCUGGGAAGAGACCAGGGCAGCCACAUGACAGAGUAGUUAAGAGAGAGGUUCUGGAGCAACAUUGUCAGUUCAAUUGCUAGCUCUACCUGUGUCUGUGUGGUCCUGGGCCAGCCUCUGAACUUACCUGUUCCCUCCUCUGUAUGUGGGAAUAAUAUUCAUCAUAGUACCUCCCCAUGGGGCUUCCAGGAACAUCAGUUGAAUUAAUACCCAUCAAGUACUUAACACCACAGUGUGGGCAUAUAGAAAGUGCUCAACAAAGGUUUGCUAUUUUUUUCUUUCUUUUUGAAACAGAGACAGGGUCUUGCUCUGCUUAUCCAGGCAGGAAUGCAAUGGCAUGAACAUAGCUCACUGCAACCUCGAAAUCCUGGGCUCAAGUGAUCCUCCCACCUCAGCCUACUGAGUAACUGGGACUAUAUGCGCGUGGCAUCAUGCUCAGCCAAUUUUUUAAAAUUUUUAGAGGCAGGGUCUUGCUAUGUUGCCCAAGCUGGUCUCGAACUCCUGGAUUUGAACGACCCUCUCAUGUCAGCCUCCCAAAGUGCUGGUAUUACAGGUGUGAGUCGCCAUGCCUAGCCAAGGUUUGCUACUAUUAUUCCUUCUCUCCAACCUUCUCCCUGUAUUCUUUCUGAACUCCCUUUCCCUAUCAAAGCCCCAUUUCAGGCCUGGUGUGGGGAAAUGCAGCACCAGGUGAGCAUGUGUUGGUGGGGAGGAUUUGGGGAGACACAUCCCCACUGCUUACUCUACCUGUGCUGGGAACUGCACAAAGAAUGGGGGUGAAGUGGGUGAGAGGCCAGUUGGGAACCCAAAAGCUGUCCUCUACAAUUCUUUUUGAAGGCUAGGGAGAUCCCACUCCUACUUCAGGCCAUGCAUUGGAACCAAAGUUGAGGUGGGGGAGAGUGGUGGCUGCACAGAUACCAUAGACAAGCCAAGACCUCCCUGCCUCGCCCUGUCCUGGCAUGAAGGCACAGGUCUGUAACUACAGCAGCUUUUCCCAGUACCAUCUGACAUUUCUUCUGAAUUUGCUUUAGCGCCUAGCAGAGCACUCCAUAAACUCUCCUAAAGUAGGUAGGAAGGGUAGGAUGGGGUAUGGGAUAUGAGGGUCAGAGGGUCAGACCAGAAAGGGUGGAUUAUUAUAAAACAAGUAGUCCUAAGAUUCUGAGGAUGGGCAGGUGUACCCUAAAAGGGAAGCAGUGGGAUUCCCAAGUAAAUACUUCAUCUACUUCACAAGUUUGCCCAAGCCCAGCUCAGGAACAGUAACAAAUGGAAAUGAGCAGGGAUGCCGGCUGUGGACAAGCAGACCCCCUAGGUAGAGUCCACCCCACCUUCCCAUUACCACAGGAAUUAUUACCUUACCACCCAUAGGGGAGGGGGUAAUUGUGGGCAAAUUUGAUGGGCCCAGUGGGACAGUCAGAAACAGCCUGCCUAGAGCCCUAAUGUACCCACCCACAUAGCUGUGACAUCCUCAGCCCAGCCAGGCUAGCCCAGGAUAUAUGGUGUGUGUAGCGCACUCUGCUAUUUUCCUCUCCUUGAAUGUCCUUGAGGACCCAGUUCAGGUGCCUCUGCUGGGACACUCCCUGUGACACUACCAGCCUUCUCUGAUCUACUCUUUCUCUUGACUCCUAAGACUUACUGUCAGGCUCUCUGGUCACCUGAUCAAUCCCAGGCUUGUGAUACCUCAUAUGCUACCUUGUACCAUUAUUUAACUUUUAGUUCAUGUGUAUAAUUUUCCUACUGAAGCAGUAGGAGCUUGAGGCCAUGGCUCCUAAAGCUUUGAAACCCAUGCAGCAACUGAAAUAGAGCUCAGCAUUCAUUCAUUCACUCACUCACUCAAUAGUUAUUGAGCACCUCCAACAUGCGAAGCACCGUGCUAGGUGCUGGGGAUUUGGCAGUGAACCAGAGAUGAAUUCUACAUUGAAGCCACUUAGUAAAUAUUUGUUAAACAGAUAGACGAGUGGAUGGAGACAUGGAUGCAUUAGUAGUGAGUGGAUAAUGUCUCUAUCUGUGGCAUCCCUUCUGCUCUAUGUUACCUCAGAGAAAAAUCUCACUUCUUUACUCUCCGUGAUCCCACAACUGUUCUGGAUGGGGGAAGUCCCAGGAAGUUUAGUCUCAAGUGGAGAGUAGGGAGAGAGGAAACUAAAUUCAGAGGGGUAGUACCCACUUAAAGGCAUCCAUAUGAUGAGUGCUGGGGCCAGAAGAGACUGGAACCAAUGAGUCAUAGGGUCUCAGGGUCUUCAGACAUCAUAUGGGGCUGCUACAGGGAUCUUUUCAGAGCAUCCCCUUCAACAGAUGUUCCUCAGCCUCCAUGCUAACUCUCAAUGAUGGGGCACCUGACACAGGCAUUCCACUGCUUGCCCCUGGUGAUUUCCCUCAUUCUCACCUCUAAGUAACAUCCAAAAUAAAACCAGCCCAGCCUUGGGCCAUGAUAUCCUAACCCACAGCAUGUGCACAUGUACCCACAUCUGCAUAUCUGCUCUACCUCCAGAUCAAAAUAGCAACCAGGGAGAUUGGCAGAGCCUGGAGUACCAGGCUGUCUUCCCAGUUUGGGACUGGCUGAGGCACUGUGACUUCAGUGAGAGUCUGGGCCCAUCCUCAGUCUAGAAAAAGCUUAUGCAAGGAUGAGGGUAGCCUAGAGAAAGUCCAGAAAACCACACAAAUGACCACCUGUUGAUUCCAAGGCGGAGACAGAGCACUUUCUCCUUUUAAAAACAGUAUCCUCUCCUCUCACUCAAGCUUAGCCUGCUCAACUGAACAGCCAGGAAAAGCUGCUGGUGUUUGGUGAUUUGAAGGGAAGGGGGUCUGAACCUCAGAAGCUUGUCACUUACUGGGGACCCUGAUGAGUUUCUCUCUGUUGUCCUGCCUUAUCCCUAAUCUAGCUCCCUGAUCAUUUGAAUGUAACCCUAAUUGGACAAGAAUUUUCUCCCUUUCAGUAUGGACAAAAUCAACAACCAUGAAUCAGAGACUUUUAGAGGAUGGGUAGUGAAGUGGGGGAAGAACAGAACAUUGUAGAGUGAGGGGCAGAGAGGCAGGCAGUGGGCAUGGGUAGGUUCUGGUUUUGUGAUUAGUAAUAUUAUCUCUUUAAUUGAAAAAAAUAAACUCAUUUCAGAUUCGUA